rnacentral:piRNA from 1 species
UAUAAACGCGUCGAGACGCCUACCGUUA